CGUGUAGGCGGACUCGUAAGUCGGGCGUGAAAUCCCUGGGCUCAACCCAGGAACUGCACUCGAAACCGCGAGUCUUGAGUACCGGAGAGGAAGGUGGAAUUCCUGGUGUAGAGGUGAAAUUCGUAGAUAUCAGGGGGAACACCAGUGGCGAAGGCGGCCUUCUGGACGGUAACUGACGCUGAGACGCGAAAGCGUGGGGAGCAAACA
rnacentral:rRNA from 1 species